UACGAAGGGGGCUAGCGUUGUUCGGAAUCACUGGGCGUAAAGGGCGCGUAGGCGGCCGAUCAAGUCGGGGGUGAAAGCCUGUGGCUCAACCACAGAAUUGCCUUCGAUACUGUUUGGCUUGAAACCGGAAGAGGUUAGUGGAACUGCGAGUGUAGAGGUGAAAUUCGUAGAUAUUCGCAAGAACACCAGUGGCGAAGGCGGCUGACUGGUCCGGUUCUGACGCUGAGGCGCGAAAGCGUGGGGAGCGAACGGG
rnacentral:rRNA from 1 species